rnacentral:rRNA from 1 species
UACGUAGGGUGCGAGCGUUAAUCGGAAUUACUGGGCGUAAAGCGUGCGCAGGCGGUUUUGUAAGCCAGAUGUGAAAUCCCCGGGCUUAACCUGGGAAUGGCAUUUGGGACUGCAAGGCUUGAGUGCGGCAGAGGAGACUGGAAUUCCUGGUGUAGCAGUGAAAUGCGUAGAUAUCAGGAGGAACACCAGUGGCGAAGGCGGCCCGCUGGGCAGUGGCUGACGCUGAGGCGCGACAGCGUGGGGAGCAAACAGG